AGCGGCGGACGGGUGAGUAAUGCUUAGGAAUCUGCCAUUUAGUGGGGGACAACAUUCCGAAAGGGAUGCUAAUACCGCAUACGUCCUACGGGAGAAAGCAGGGGAUCUUCGGACCUUGCGCUAAAUGAUGAGCCUAAGUCGGAUUAGCUAGUUGGUGGGGUAAAGGCCUACCAAGGCGACGAUCUGUAGCGGGUCUGAGAGGAUGAUCCGCCACACUGGGACUGAGACACGGCCCAGACUCCUACGGGAGGCAGCAGUGGGGAAUAUUGGACAAUGGGCGGAAGCCUGAUCCAGCCAUGCCGCGUGUGUGAAGAAGGCCUUUUGGUUGUAAAGCACUUUAAGCGAGGAGGAGGCUACCUAGAUUAAUACUCUGGGAUAGUGGACGUUACUCGCAGAAUAAGCACCGGCUAACUCUGUGCCAGCAGCCGCGGUAAUACAGAGGGUGCGAGCGUUAAUCGGAUUUACUGGGCGUAAAGCGUGCGUAGGCGGCUGAUUAAGUCGGAUGUGAAAUCCCUGAGCUUAACUUAGGAAUUGCAUUCGAUACUGGUCAGCUAGAGUAUGGGGGAGGAUGGUAGAAUUCCAGGUGUAGCGGUGAAAUGCGUAGAGAUCUGGAGGAAUACCGAUGGCGAAGGCAGCCAUCUGGCCUAAUACUGACGCUGAGGUACGAAAGCAUGGGGAGCAAACAGGAUUAGAUACCCUGGUAGUCCAUGCCGUAAACGAUGUCUACUAGC
rnacentral:rRNA from 1 species